UAGGGAAUCUUCCACAAUGGACGCAAGUCUGAUGGAGCAACGCCGCGUGAGUGAAGAAGGUUUUCGGACCGUAAAGCUCUGUUGUUGGUGAAGAAGGAUAGAGGUAGUAACUGGCCUUUAUUUGACGGUAAUCAACCAGAAAGUCACGGCUAACUACGUGCCAGCAGCCGCGGUAAUACGUAGGUGGCAAGCGUUGUCCGGAUUUAUUGGGCGUAAAGCGAGCGCAGGCGGAAGAAUAAGUCUGAUGUGAAAGCCCUCGGCUUAACCGAGGAAUUGCAUCGGAAACUGUUUUCUUGAGUGCAGAAGAGGAGAGUAGAACUCCAUGUGUAGCGGUGGAAUGCGUAGAUAUAUGGAAGAAUACCAGUGGCGAAGGCGGCUCUCUGGUCUGCAACUGACGCUGAGGCUCGAAAGCAUGGGUAGCGAACAGGAUUAGAUACCCUGGUAGUCCAUGCCGUAAAACGAUGAGUGCUAAGUGUUGGGAGGCUUCCGCCUCUCAGUGCUGCAGCUAACGCAUUAAGCACUCCGCCUGGGGGAGUACGACCGCAAAGGUU
rnacentral:rRNA from 1 species